ACGACUAGUGUUUGUCAUUUGCGCGUCAUAGUGACCUGUGUCAAGCGCGAUUAAAAGCAAAUUGUGCAAUCGUCACAAAUGCUUCAAUUUUUGAGCGCGAUAACCUAUCUAUAUUUAUAAUAUCAUUGUUUGGAAGUCUAUAAUACUUAAAUUUGCAUAAUUAAUAAAAACAAUGAAAUGGUGACUCGCGUUUCUCUUGUCGCGGAUUCACCCAUUUAUCCUAUAAAUUUAAUCGUAGAUAAUUAGCUCCAAGAUUUCGAGGUUGACUAAAUUUGAAUAUUAAUGUACAUAUAAGAUAGAAUCGUGAUAUUCACGAUUAUUCGGAAUUGCUAUUUAAUAUUUAUUAACGAGGCUUAGAAACCGAGAGGCUAGAGGUCUUAAAAAUAUUAGGUUUAAACCUUUUUCGAGAACACGCACUGCCACGGACGUAAUCAAGGAAUAUUAAUGACAUUGCUGUUUUGAAAUAUAUGUGUAAUGUAGACAUUUAGGUUCGGGGCGAAUUCUUCCACAAAUCUCUUGACGUCAGGGUACAAUUCCGAAAUCGUCACUUUCCUAACUCGUCCACAGUUAUAUCGUCAUUUUCUUAUCUUUCAAUUUAAAUUUCGAUUAUUUUACACAUACGCUUACAGUAAAUAAUCAAUGCGCUUACACGGUGAAGAUAAAAUUACAUUUUUUUUUUCAGGCUUAUAAUUCUAUAUUCGACCAAACACCAAACACAAUUAAGUACCAAGGACUAAGAAAAACAAGUCCAAUUAUAAAACUUAAAACCUACUACUAAAAUUAAGUACAAACUAAAAAAAAAAAUAUAAAACUUAUACUCAACUAUCUUAUUACCCCAAAUUAUUUAACAAAUUGAAAAAUAAACUACACAUUAGAAUACAAUUAAAAUUACAUAAUAUAAAUAGAAUAACAAAUUAAUAAACAAAACUAGACAAAUACUUCAAUAUGGUUUAAGUUACAGGGGCAAAGUUGGAAGCCAACAUGGCGGACCUAAUGAAUUUGCCCAACCUGUCGGCAGAAAUGUCUUGACCAUAUUCCUAUCUUCACAGUUCUAACUGCUAAGACGAUAUAGGAAUGUGGGCCAGUUAAGAAGGUGGCCAAUGAGGACAGUGGACCAUAUGGCAAAGUUCACGAAAUAAAAUCGUGGACAAAUCGCCCUGAGUCCACAUUUUACUGGCUAGUUUAUUAGUAUUUCUAAAUGAUCUUAGGCACCUUGCAGCUGAUAUUUAUAGUAAGG